GGCGGCGUAGCUCAGGGGUUAGAGCAGGGUCUUCAUAAGGCCAAGGUCACUGGUUCAAUUCCAGUCGUCGCUA
rnacentral:tRNA from 1 species